UCAGCGGGGAAAGAAGACCCUGUUGAGCUUGACUCCAGUCUGGCAUUGUUCGGAGACAUGCCGAGGUGUAGCAUAAGUGGGAGUCGGGGAUCCAUACGUGGUUCUAACCGACUACCGUACUCCGACGCCUUUGAAAUACCACUACUCGCAUCGUUUCCUUACUUACUCGGUGAUGCGGAGCGCGUGUUGUUCGGUCCGUGGCUUCGGCCGGAGUCGUCCUGUCCGAUAUUGGCGGGCGUCUUUGCGUAUUCGACUUUGACGAGCCUCGCUGACGGCCGAUUUUCGGUAGUUGUUCGCGCGCUUGUACGCGGCCGUUACAUUCGCCUUCGCGGUGUUUGCAAUGUGUCGCUGCUUGCGUCGCGUCUCUAUCGAGUCGUCGUUUAGUCGGGGAUACACUUGUCAUUGAAGAAGCCAAUGGGUGUCCGUCUAUCGGCUCGGCUUCGCGUUCGAGCCCGUCGUGGCCGGCAAUCACGAUCGGUUCCCAGUCGUAUUAAGCGCAAUCGCGUCGCCUGUUAGUUCUCCCAGUCACCGGUCGUCUGCGCGCUUUCGAACGUGCAGUCGGUCGCCUGGGAAACCUGGCGUCGUUGCGUGAUCCGAUCCGAGGACACCGCCAGGUGGGGAGUUUGACUGGGGCGGUACAUCUGUCAAAGAAUAACGCAGGUGUCCUAAGGCCAGCUCAGCGAGGACGGAAACCUCGCGUAGAGCAAAAGGGCAAAAGCUGGCUUGAUCCCGGACGCCCAGUACGCGUAGGGACUGCGAAAGCAUCGGCCUCUCGAUCCUCUCGUCU
rnacentral:rRNA from 1 species